GUCGCUUCUCGGCCUUUUGGCUGAGAUCAAAGUUUAGUAUCUGUUCUUAUCAGCUUAAUCUGAAAGGGGUACUGUUUUUGCUCUAUUGCUGAAACGUAAAUUAAUGCGUAUUUUUUUCAGUCGGUGCUUAACGUCAAGGUACCAAAUUACGUAACGUGGACGAAGCUGAAUAGCGUACAUUCAUACUUUACUAUUAAAUUCUCGUAUUAACCAUU
rnacentral:snRNA from 1 species